rnacentral:tRNA from 1 species
AGACGGCUGGUGCCGUCCCCGGAUUUCAAAUCCGGUGGGAGAGUCCGGCAAGACCCUCCGGUCGGUUCGAUUCCGACGCCA